rnacentral:rRNA from 1 species
CCUUCCCUACGGGGCGCAGCAGUGGGGAAUAUUGCACAAUGGGGGAAACCCUGAUGAAGCGACGCCGCGUGAGUGAAGAAGUAUCUCGGUAUGUAAAGCUCUAUCAGCAGGAAAGAUAAUGACGGUACCUGACUAAGAAGCCCCGGCUAACUACGUGCCAGCAGCCGCGGUAAUACGUAGGGGGCAAGCGUUAUCCGGAUUUACUGGGUGUAAAGGGAGCGUAGACGGCUGCGCAAGUCUGAAGUGAAAGCCCGGGGCCCACCCCCGGGACUGCUUGGGAAACUG